AUUGUACUCCCUCCUUCUGGAAAUACUUGUCAGAGAAAUGGAUGUAUCUAGACAAAUUUUAGUUUUAAAUACAUCCAUUUUAUCCAUUUCUCUGACAAGUAUUUCCGGACGGAGGGAGUAGUAA
rfam:Triticum urartu cultivar G1812 contig1123419, whole genome shotgun sequence.